rnacentral:rRNA from 2 species
AGUUAGCGGCGGACGGGUGAGUAACACGUGGGUAACCUGCCCAUAAGACUGGGAUAACUCCGGGAAACCGGGGCUAAUACCGGAUAAUAUUUUGAACUGCAUGGUUCGAAAUUGAAAGGCGGCUUCGGCUGUCACUUAUGGAUGGACCCGCGUCGCAUUAGCUAGUUGGUGAGGUAACGGCUCACCAAGGCAACGAUGCGUAGCCGACCUGAGAGGGUGAUCGGCCACACUGGGACUGAGACACGGCCCAGACUCCUACGGGAGGCAGCAGUAGGGAAUCUUCCGCAAUGGACGAAAGUCUGACGGAGCAACGCCGCGUGAGUGAUGAAGGCUUUCGGGUCGUAAAACUCUGUUGUUAGGGAAGAACAAGUGCUAGUUGAAUAAGCUGGCACCUUGACGGUACCUAACCAGAAAGCCACGGCUAACUACGUGCCAGCAGCCGCGGUAAUACGUAGGUGGCAAGCGUUAUCCGGAAUUAUUGGGCGUAAAGCGCGCGCAGGUGGUUUCUUAAGUCUGAUGUGAAAGCCCACGGCUCAACCGUGGAGGGUCAUUGGAAACUGGGAGACUUGAGUGCAGAAGAGGAAAGUGGAAUUCCAUGUGUAGCGGUGAAAUGCGUAGAG